UGUAAAUGCAACAUGGCUAAUGAAUACAUUUGGUACCUCAAGUAGCUCAACUAGAUAGGCUUCACUGCUGAGGUUCAAAUGUUAGCAUUGGCCACUUGGGACAGACAUCAAAAAGUGACCCGUGUUCAUGAAACUAUCCUUCAAGAGAUUACAGAGAUGGAAGUGAGCAAAGAGAAAAGAUGAUCAACAGUGAACAACGACAGCACAGCUGAACCCAAAUGGGGCAACUGCUCUUGUGGCAGAGUGGUCAUAUCUCGACCUCUGAGCCAGGAGGCUUGUGUUCAAGUCCUAUCUGCUCCAAAGAAUGUUCCAGGAAACACACACAAUCAAGAUGGCAAGAAGGCAACUCAAUUGCUUAGAGAAGGCAAAACAGACUGGUUUCUCAUGUCUGAUGGCUGUCCUGUGAUCUUGCGCAGGAAAGAGACACA